AUUGAACGCUGGCGGCAGGCUUAACACAUGCAAGUCGAGCGAGCGGCGGACGGGUGAGUAAUGUCUGGGAAACUGCCUGAUGGAGGGGGAUAACUACUGGAAACGGUAGCUAAUACCGCAUACCAUCGGAUGUGCCCAGAUGGGAUUAGCUAGUAGGUGGGGUAAAGGCUCACCUGGGCGACGAUCCCUAGCUGGUCUGCGAGGAUGACCAGCCACACUGUAACUGAGCGACGGUGCAGAUGCCUACGGGAGGCAGCAGUGGGGAAUAUUGGACAAUGGGAGCAGUCCUGAUGCAGCCAUGCCGCGUGUAUGAAGAAGGCCUGCGGGUUGUAAAGGACUUUCAGCGGGGAGGCGUUACCCGCAGAAGAAGCGCCGGCUAACGCCGUGCCAGCAGCCGCGGUAAUUC
rnacentral:rRNA from 1 species